rnacentral:rRNA from 1 species
UACGUAGGGUGCAAGCGUUGUCCGGAAUUAUUGGGCGUAAAGAGCUCGUAGGCGGUUUGUCGCGUCUGCUGUGAAAACUCGGGGCUUAACUCCGGGCCUGCAGUGGGUACGGGCAGACUAGAGUGCGGUAGGGGAGACUGGAAUUCCUGGUGUAGCGGUGAAAUGCGCAGAUAUCAGGAGGAACACCGGUGGCGAAGGCGGAUCUCUGGGCCUUACCUGCGCUCAGGUGCGAAAGCUAGGGGAGCGAACAGG